CUGUCUACUCGAAUGAAUGGAAACGAAUUAACACAACACACACGUCACGCACGGGAGUGCGGGAGUUGCCGAGUCGGAGUUGCUCAGAUGUGUUCACCGCCUGGCUCCCUGACGUGAUAAGCCGCCGACGCCUUCCGCCCUGCGCUGCACCUGCAUGGCGUGCCUCCGGUAGUCGCCUCGAUCCGCGGCCUGCAGGCCGGCUGGCCGUCCGUUAGAUUAGCACAAGGAAGACGUUGCGCCAUUGAUCGAUCAAGGAAGCUAAUGAAGAGAUUCUUUGGAAAAUCAACAACCCACAAUAUGCCUAAAGAGGUGACAAUUAAAUGCUUCCUUGGGAAAAAUCUCCGUGGGAUGAAACAGAAGGAGCUUGAAGACUACAAAUUAAUUCGAAAUGGUCAGGAACAGCAUAUUGAUAUUUCUCAAGUUAUUGCACCUUAAAUGGUUAGUUUAUUCUUACUUUGGCAAUGAACUUGACAUAAGUAUGUGUGUGUUUACAUUAUCUUAUAAGGAAAUAUAUGAUUUUACUUCAUACACACUGUAUUUUUUUAGGGGUCUUACACACUGUGUAUGCUUAUGUGUUUAGUUUUUUAAAUGAUCUAGCCAUUAGUUCGUACACAUCCCUUUGAAGAAAAAAACAUACACAUCUUUGCCCCCUCUCGGUUUUCAUCCUGGCUCCG